rnacentral:rRNA from 1 species
UCGGGAAUUUUGGGCAAUGGGCGAAAGCCUGAUCCAGCCAUGCCGCGUGAGUGACGAAGGCCUUAGGGUUGUAAAACUCUUUCGUCGGGGACGAUAAUGACGGUACCCGAAGAAGAAGCUCCGGCUAACUUCGUGCCAGCAGCCGCGGUAAUACGAAGGGAGCUAGCGUUGUUCGGAAUCACUGGGCGUAAAGCGCACGUAGGCGGAUAGUUAAGUCAGGGGUGAAAUCCUGGGGCUCAACCCCAGAACUGCCUUUGAUACUGGCUGUCUCGAGGUCGAGAGAGGUUGGUGGAAUUCCUAGUGUAGAGGUGAAAUUCGUAGAUAUUAGGAAGAACACCAGUGGCGAAGGCGGCCAACUGGCUCGAUACUGACGCUGAGGUGCGAAAGCGUGGGGAGCAAACAGGAUUAGAUACCCCCGUAGUCCCUGAGCGGGCUGGCAAGGCGCAU